UCAAAGGGGUUUCCAGCGCAGGUUGUCACGGGGUGACGAGACCGAAUCCCACCCGAAUCGCGCAGCAGGCCCCGGUGCCCAUCUGUCGACGCGAGAGUCCCCGCGCCUCCUCGCGGUUCAUCUGUGACGCGUGCCGCCCGGAGGGGCCUUCUUGUGCAAUGGGCCGCACAUGAGAGCCGUGGAAAUCGAGCGGGCCGAUUAUUAUUUUUUUGGUAACGCGUCCAAAUCCUGCGAUAAUCGUUCCGCGGGAUGUUUGUCAGCCCAACUGGAAGACACCCCCCCCCCCCCCUUUCCCUCCCUCCUAUUGUCAUGCUGGUCAUGGGGCGUUGCUUGAUCGAACCGAGUUGUACCACGUUGAUCAGCGUGGGUUGUUGAAGUCAGCUGUGGGGAGAGGGGGGGGGGGGUGGUAAGAGUCUUCUUCUUCUUCUUCCAUACGGCUGCUGAUGUCGAUGCAGGAACGACGACGACAAUUUCACAUUCAGGUGGCCAAGCACGGCGACCGCGUCGAGAGCAGCGGAGUGGCGUCGCUGUGAUGACUUCUUUCGUGUUUGUGCGUUGGGCCAUCGUGACGUCGCGUGUUGUGCAGAUGUUUGUUGAAAAAGAGGAUCUCUGACCUCACUGGGCUUCACGGAUCGACUACAACUGCCAUGCCACCACAGUCCUAACCGCUUUUCUAGAUUUUUUUCCCCCUGGCAGUGAGAGGCUCCCGCUGCAUGGCAAGAUGCGGGGGGAAAACCGGGCUUGACGCUUUACAACCGGCCAUUCGUCACGACGUAAAUGCAGACUUCAACAACAACAACAAGAACAACAAAAAACUCCACAUCGUUGGAAGUUCUUUGCCAUCUCGCAACGCGUGUCACUUUUACGGCACGAAACAGUAAAGAAGAUGACUAAAAUGUCUCGUGUUCUACGGUGUAUAUAUCUAUUUUUUUAUAAUCGUGUGUCAUUUACGCAAUGUCCUAAAUCUAGAUUUUUAUCGCAACGAAGUAUGUGAUCUUUAAACUCAAAAAUUAUCACUUUGGUGGUUACACACAAGACGCUUUUCAACUCGUUCUGUUUUUUUCCAACGCCUCCUCCCUUGAUCCAUGAUGUGACAAUCGUUGUCAUCUUUUCCUACGACCACACCAUGGUUUUAAUGUGCGCUGAUGUUAAAUUACAACACCGGUUGUUGCAUUUUUUGGUUUUGACGCGUGGAUGAUCCACAGAGCCCAAAAAGUCGUUAUUUUAAUUCUCCGCCACCAAACAAUUGCAAAUAGUAACUCUCGACCCAGUUUAUGACAAGGCCAAAACAGGGAGUGGAAAAUAAGAAUUUGGUUUUACCCUUUGUUGAAAUAAAACAGGCGUUAACAUGUUCAAACACCAAACAGAUGCAUAUUGCAAGGCAUCACGUCUGCAUUCACCACACCUACGUGCGGUUAAAAAUGCAAACAAACAUGACAGAAUGUAACGGGCAAAAAACAGUUGUCCAUCCGAAUGCUUCAGCCACAUGAUUUCAGGUAUCCCAUGUACAUGGAACCCAUGAGCACACUGCAGUGUCAAGAUGUAAACUCCCUCAGCUGGUAUGCAGGAGGUCGUGGGUUCGAUACCGACCCUGCGCCCACGGUAUAUUUGGAGUUUGCAUCUCCUCCCAAUGGUCGCGUGGCGACGGUUUUUUUCCCUCCGCAUUUAGGAACAUGCGUUCUGAGUAUAUUUGGCUGCAAUUCAUUUCUUAGGUGAUAAGCCACUUCGUUGAGCUGUCAUUUGUGGCCGGGUCGCUUAUGAGACAGAGCUAAAUAGCUCAGUGGGCUUUACCUGAUAAAAUAUAAUAGUAGCUGUUGUUUUGCAUGCAGCACACUGCUCUACAACUGGAUUACCCUCGUAUAAGAGGAUAACGAUCUCUGGAUGAUGCCACUUUUUGGUGCUCAAUAGCCACUCCGUUAUACAAUCUUUUGAGCCACUUCUCUGUGCAAGUAGCUGAGUGUUCAUCCUCGGUGCAGUAAAUCUUCUGUUGAUGCAUUAUGUUUGGGGAUGCCCAAUAUAUGCAUGGUAAGAAGCACCCUGGAACGUUUUGCUUGGAAGAUAAUUACCGUUACGAUGUGGAACUCUUAAGUUUUAAUAUGCAUGCACUCCCGAACCGUUUGCUGUUGUGAUAAUUUACGUUACGGUGUUUAACUCUAUGGAGUAAUCUGUUGCACUGGAACAUGUCUGUUGUUACAAUAUAGCCAGUUCUCUCUUGAAAAAACAACAACAACAUAUUUAAUAUAUUUAAUAAUCCUGCUCUAUGACCAUUUAUUUUAAACAGUGUAUACGUAAUGGUCUUUGUGUUCAAUGAACGCUGUGCAAUACUCAUGCCCACUGCUAUUCUUGAGCCACCGGUGUAAAUGUUGCGUUGUUAUUGCAGGGGGCAAGUUUAAUUCUUCCGAAGUAGUUCUCAGGUUAAUCGACCGUAGAAGGUCGGCGACCGGAUGCUACCCACGGUGUGAUGGUUCGCACCACUGGACUCGCAAAUCCAGAGGUCGCCAGUUGAAUCAACGGCGAAGGUUCUUUAUUCCGCCCGCCGCUGUCCACCCAGCAGUAUGAAUCAGCACGCCACAUUUGGUUAUAUCAGUAGGUGGCGUGUGGUGGGGCAAAGUGUGGGCAAUCCCGGCUCUACCAAGACACGCAUUCAGCAUGGAAGAGUAGGCCAACAUCCCCCUCCAGAAGAGUGGGAUCAUCCAGAGCGCCCCUAUAGUGGGGACCUUUUCUGCGAGCAGUGGUGUUCGCGAGACAUUGCAGGCCUGCACCUUUACCAUUCUUGUUAUUUCGGGGUGAUCAUUUAAGUCAACCUUGGCCGCGAUUUGAACUUGCAUUCUUAUAGUUGGGAGCCCUGGUAUUGUAACAACAAAACACACAUGACACCCUGCGCAUAUUUCAAACUCAAGACGGGAAAGAAAAAAACUCACAUCAGUUUGAUGCGACUGCACUUCAUUUCUCUACAUUUUCUGAGUAGUCCUUAUACACACACACAACAUGUGCAUUCAAUGCCCUUGCAUUUCAUAUUCGUUGGCAUAUUUGACAUUUUACCCUGUAAAAUAUGCCAAAUAAACGUUUGAAUUAUAUUGAUCGUAGGAAAGUGUGCGGCGAUAUUUAAUGCCCGAUGAA